rnacentral:rRNA from 1 species
GAUGAACGCUCGCGGCAGGCCUAAUACAUGCAAGUCGGACGGGAUUCAGGAGCUUGCUUCUGAUGAGAGUGGCGCACGGGUGCGUAACACGUAUGUAACCUACCUUUAUCAGGGGGAUAGCCUCUCGAAAGAGAGAUUAAGCCCGCAUAAAAUCACAGCACAGCAUUGUGUACUGAUCAAAUAUUUAUAGGAUAAAGAUGGGCAUGCGGAACAUUAGCUAGAUGGCGGGGUAACGGCCCACCAUGGCGACGAUGUUUAGGGGAUCUGAGAGGAUGGCCCCCCACACUGGUACUGAGACACGGACCAGACUCCUACGGGAGGCAGCAGUAAGGAAUAUUGGGCAAUGGGCGGAAGCCUGAACCAGCCAUGCCGCGUGCAGGAAGACGGCCCUACGGGUUGUAAACUGCUUUUAGACGGGAAUAAACCCAGAUACGUGUAUCUGGCUGAAUGUACUGUAAGAAUAAGGAUCGGCUAACUCCGUG